rnacentral:rRNA from 1 species
UACGUAGGGGGCUAGCGUUGUCCGGAAUCAUUGGGCGUAAAGCGCGUGUAGGCGGUCCGGUAAGUCCGCUGUGAAAGUCGGGGGCUCAACCCUCGAAUGCCGGUGGAAACUGUCGGGCUAGAGUACGGAAGAGGCGAGUGGAAUUCCUGGUGUAGCGGUGAAAUGCGCAGAUAUCAGGAGGAACACCAAUUGCGGAAGGCAGCUCGCUGGGACGUUACUGACGCUGAGACGCGAAAGCGUGGGGAGCAAACAGG